GCAGAAAUGAUAGGGCAAAGAAUUAUGAAUUAAAAAAAUUCGGAGAAAGUUGCAUGCUCCUUAUAGUCAGUUCUAGAAUACAAGUGAAUUUAUAACAGAGAAAAAACAAUUGCUCUUAUUAUGGCUUUUUUUUAGAAUUAUAUUAUCACUUUACAAGACAUAAGACUUAAUCCCCGCCCUUAGUGUUCCUCAGAUCUAAGACUGUUUUCUGUGUAUACAUGGAUUAAAUGCUCCAAAACUGGAUCUGUUACCUGCAGACCCCACAUCACAACAGUACAGGCAAGUGCAAACCAGACAGAAGAAAACAAUAAUAACCACAAGAAAAAUCCCAAAGAAAUAACAUUGUUAUUGUAGAUGUUAUUAACCAUAGUUAUUAAAAAUUACACAUUUGGGCAACUAUAAUUCAGUGAUGGGAACAGUAAUAUGCAUGUCUGUCAUUCACAGCAAUGGCAUGGAUCAGAUGUAGGAGAUUUUAAGAAUCUAAUUCAGCACAGAAAGGAAAAGAUGUCAUCAAAUGGCCCCAACCAGGAAGCUUAAUCAGAAACAAAUCUGUAAAGGAACCUCAAAACUUGGAGAGUACUUUCUUCAUGGAUUUCCACAGAAAAAAAGGCACCAGGUCAGCACAGGCUUGCUCAGGCCAUUAUGCAGAUCUUGAAAAUUAGCUGCUCAAAACUGCAGACACACCCUGACCUUCUGUUUUGCUGGCUAGAGAUCAGGACAACCUUCACAGCUAUAUAAUAUAAUACUGUUGAACUUUUGUCUACAGCCCUUUAUUUGUAACCAUUGUGACACACGAGAUAAAAAAAAAAGUUCUUCUUGAACUGCCUAUGUUAUAUAAAUAUUUUUCUCUAUACUAACUUCUGCUAUAUUUCCUGGACAAAACCUGAACACACAGGGGAUGGCAAUUUAGUGACAUUCAUGUGUAGCCCUUUUGGGAAAAGCAUUGUAUAUUAUUUCUGAUCUGGACUGGCAAAUACAAUGACAUCACAUUUAAAAAUGGCUAUGAUCCACCCACUGAGAAUGCCAAAGAAAAGCUGGCUGAUUUUUUUUUUUUUAAAGGAAGCUAGCACAAAGAUUACAAGGUGAAACAGAUGUCUGAGGGUUGUUGUCUACACAGAGAAAAACCCAGUUUCAAAAAGAAAUAUG
rnacentral:lncRNA from 1 species